AGUAGGCAAGGGACUGACAUGGACCCAUUGGAAGGAAUCCUAGAUUUUGAGGGAGAGACAUGGGAAACAGAUCCUCUUUUCUUGUAGACUGGGUGUUUGGGGGAGGUGGGGCUGGAGCUGCUUAUCGCCUCCUGGAGUUUCAAACGAAAGCCAAGAGAGCAGAAGGCAAUGCCAGAUAAGGAUUAAAAAAAAGAAACUCUGUGCUGGCAACGCCACUCAGAAGAGAGCUGACCCUUCACGAUUGCCAGGUGGGGAUGCUGAACAGAGAGGGGCAAACUGCCAGUUGCUUUAUGGCCAUCCUUGGGGAGAGAGCAUGUCAAGCAGUCUCCCUGCCGAGCGCAGAUCCCAGCACAGGGCUCGACCUCACAACCCCGGGAUCACGACCUGAGCGGAAAUCAAGGGUCGGGUGCUUACCUGAUGGAGCCACCCAGGCCCUGCCUUUUAUUCUGCCAAAAAAUAUAUUUCUUAAAAGCGAUUGUAGCAUGGGUACAAGGCAGAUCAUUUUCUUAAUGCCUCAGCUUGGCAAAAGGAAAAUGUCUUAGAAAUCCCGAUUUCAUUCACCUUGAUUUUUUUUUAAGAUUUUAUUUAUUUAUUACUGAGAGACCCACAGAGACACAGAGAGAGGCAGAGACCCAGGCCGAGGGAGAAGCAGGCUCCCUGCGGGGAGCCCGACGUGGGACUCGAUCCUGGGACCCCGGGGUCACGGCCUGGGCCGAAGGCAGGUGCUAACCCGCUGGGCCCCCUGGGUUGCCCCCACCUUGAUUUUUAAACAGAUCGUAGGAGGCCGUGAAAUUCCAGGGCCCCGGCACAGUCCCCCGCCCCUUUGCCCGGGCUCUGGGCCAUCCAUAAGGAACCCGCGCGAGGAGCAGGAGGGAAGGCUACUGCGCUCACGGCGCUCUCCUGGGCGCAGCCUGUGUCACCUGCGGGCUUUUCCCUCCCUCGGGGUCAGGACAGGGGAGGGCGUCGCUAGCGGCUCUGAGGUCCCGGCCAGGGCCUGGGUCGCCGGGGGCCAAGGACGGUGGGGACACCCUUGUCCUUCAGCAGGACGGACGGGGCCAGCCUGGGGGCUCAGCUGCCUGAAAGCAGACUCAGGGCUUGGAGCCCGGGGAAGGCGCUGGAGGCUAAGAAGCGCGUCAGGAGAUCGAGCCUCAUACUUCCUGAGAGCUUUGCAUGCGCUGGGCGCAGUUUUAAGUGUCCUGCACGUGUGACCCGACGGCCCUUCCAGUUCCAGAGGCGCUCAAGGUCUGUCAGCAUCGUCUUCACUCCCGGCGGAGGACGGGCCGCGGCGUCGGGGCUCGGAGCAUCUGGGGGGGCUCCCCGCCCUCCUCGGCCUUGCCUGUCCCGCAGCAGGUGCCUGGGGGGGGCUCCCCGCCCUCCUCGGCCUUGCCUGUCCCGCAGCAGGUGCCUGGGGGGGCGCGGCGCCCGGUGACCCCAGGACACGCACUGCGAGUGGCCCAUCACCUGUGGCCGGAGGGACAUCAAGGCCGACGAGCAGGGUGCUCAGGCAGCAGGCGCUCAGUUUUCUCCGACCACAGAGAUAUUAGGAAAAGAUAUUUAUAGCUGACCUUUCAAGAUUAAUAACACUUGUGGAAGAGAAACCGUGGUAGUCAACAUGAUUAAAAAAAAUCCUGAGCACUGAAGGAAAGAAUUAUUUUACUGUUUGUAGUACAGUUUGUUACAUUUAUUAAAAAUUUAAUAAAAUGCAUGUGCCCAUCUAUCACACUUAAAGGACUGCUAAUAAUGCAAAUCAUUCCACUUUGCUUCUUUAAAAUUGAAUGACUCCCAGUUAUUUUGAUGUUUUCUUAAAAAUAUGUGCAUUUAUCCCAUAAUUUGAGGAAGUAAAAUUCUGUAACAAUCAGUUAAUUGGAAACUCAAAAACGAAUCUUUUAGGCACAUUAAAAUGAACUGCUAAGGCAUUCAUGAUUUUAAAUGUUAGGAAAUAAAAAUAGAAAAAACAUAAGAAAUUUACAUGUUCCUUUUUCUUAACUUUUGAUCUUCCCCGUCCUUCCUUUUGACUCUGUGUUCGAUUGACAGUCUCAUGUUUACAUAUCACAUGUCUCGUGAAGAUCUUCCUGGCUUAUCUUUUUGUACGAAAAAGGCAAGGAUUGGGAGGAUCCAUUUUGUCAUCAAAUAAAUGCAUUCUCGUGGAGGCGGCUUCAGUUCAAAAUC